rnacentral:rRNA from 1 species
AAGUUUGAUGGCGACCGGCGCACGGGUGAGUAACACGUAUCCAACCUGCCGAUGACUCGGGGAUAGCCUUUCGAAAGAAAGAUUAAUACCCGAUGGCAUAGUUCUUCCGCAUGGUAGAACUAUUAAAGAAUUUCGGUCAUCGAUGGGGAUGCGUUCCAUUAGGUUGUUGGCGGGGUAACGGCCCACCAAGCCUUCGAUGGAUAGGGGUUCUGAGAGGAAGGUCCCCCCACAUUGGAACUGAGACACGGUCCAAACUCCUACGGGAGGCAGCAUG